rnacentral:rRNA from 1 species
GACGAACGCUGGCGGCGUGCUAAUACAUGCAAGUCGAGCGGAGUUUAUCGGGAGCUUGCUCCUGAUAAACUUAGCGGCGGACGGGUGAGUAACACGUAGGCAACCUGCCCGUAAGACUGGGAUAACUACCGGAAACGGUAGCUAAUACCGGAUACGCAAGUCUCUCGCAUGAGGGGCUUGGGAAAGGCGGAGCAAUCUGUCACUUACGGAUGGGCCUGCGGCGCAUUAGCUAGUUGGUGGGGUAACGGCUCACCAAGGCGACGAUGCGUAGCCGACCUGAGAGGGUGAACGGCCACACUGGGACUGAGACACGGCCCAGACUCCUACGGGAGGCAGCAGUAGGGAAUCUUCCGCAAUGGACGAAAGUCUGACGGAGCAACGCCGCGUGAGUGAUGAAGGUUUUCGGAUCGUAAAGCUCUGUUGCCAGGGAAGAACGUCCGUUAGAGUAACUGCUAACGGAGUGACGGUACCUGAGAAGAAAGCCCCGGCUAACUACGUG